rnacentral:rRNA from 1 species
GCGUAAAGGACGCGUAGGCUGUUUAGCAAGUCAGAUGUGAAAUCCAAUGGCUCAACCAUUGAACUGCAUUUGAAACUGCUAGACUAGAGUAUGGGAGGGGCAGAUGGAAUUAGUGGUGUAGGGGUAAAAUCCGUAGAUAUCACUAGGAAUACCUAAGGCGAAGGCGAUCUGCUGGAACAUUACUGACGCUAAGGCGUGAAAGCGUGGGGAGCAAACAGGAUUAGAUACCCUGGUAGUCCACGCCCUAAACGAUGAACACUAGUCGUCGCGAUGCUUGUCAUUGCGGUGAUGCACUUAACAGAUUAAGUGUUCCGCCUGGGGAGUACGGUCGCAAGAUUAAAACUCAAAGGAAUAGACGGGGACCCGCACAAGUGGUGGAGCAUGUGGUUUAAUUCGAAGAUACGCGAAAAACCUUACCUGGCCUUGACAUUGAUAGAAUCCUGUAGAGAUACGGGAGUGCCCUUCGGGGAGCUUGAAAACAGGUGCUGCACGGCUGUCGUCAGCUCGUGUCGUGAGAUGUUGGGUUAAGUCCCGCAACGAGCGCAACCCUCGUCCUUAGUUGCCAGCAGUUCGGCUGGGCACUCUAAGGAGACUGCCUUCGCAAGGAGGAGGAAGGUGAGGACGACGUCAAGUCAUCAUGGCCCUUACGGCCAGGGCUACACACGUGCUACAAUGGGGCGUACAGAGUGUUGCAAUACCGCGAGGUGGAGCCAAUCACUUAAAGCGUCUCUCAGUUCGGAUUGUUCUCUGCAACUCGAGAGCAUGAAGCUGGAAUCACUAGU